GUUUGCAUAGCCAGGAGGACCUUGUAAGAUGCCAUUCAAGCGAGGACAAAGUGCUCAAAACAUUAACCUUUUUGCUCUCUUGUCUCUUCCUCUCUUGCCUCUCCCUCCUGCUCCCCUUCUCCCAUUCCCUUCCCCUAUCUCUCCACGUGGUCGUGGGUGACCUCUACUUCUCUACUCUUUCCUUCUCUCUGCCUUUCUCUGCCUCUACUACCCUCUUAACUCCCCUCCCCAUGCCCUGAAUGAACUCUAUUCUAUUCAAUACUAUACAAUCUUGUGACUUGUCCCUCAGGGUGAAGGGAUGCCUUGACAUGGGCCAUAGUUCUAGUUCUAGUUCUAGUUCUAGUUCUAGUUCUAGUUCAGAGUGGGUUGACACAUUACAUUUCUUCACGGAGACAGCACAGUAAGGCUGAAAGGCACACAGAGAAAACGAUGUAGCUCCUGAUUCAGAAUAAAAGAUCUGGAAUCAAAUAAAGAGAUGAGCCAUUGUGCACCAGUGCAAGGGACUGUCUUGAGAAGAUUAUUUGGAGUGGGAAGACCCACCCUAACGACUCAAUCUAGCCACGUGCAGAAGAAGGAAGCUAGGCGCUUUUCUCUCACUCUGGGAAAAAAAAAUCAAAAUAAACCAGUACCUUAGUUUGAGACUUCUAGAGGAAACAUAGGAAAAGCACUCAGAGUUACAGAUGUAAGCAAGGAUUUUCUGAAGAAGACUCCAAGAGCACAGGGAAGGACAGCAAGAAGUGACAACCAGGGUCACAUGAAUAUAGACGUUUCUAUCCAGAAACGAAACAAACCAGCUAAGCGAAAAGAACCUGCAGAGAGGGAGUCACUUCACAGCUGUACAUCUGAUGGUGAGUUAAGAUCUAGACUCCCGAAUAAUGUAAAAUACCUAAACAGUGAAGCAAUCCCUCAAUUAAAGGGCCGAUUUUCAGAAGGAAAAUAAACAGCCAGUAAAUAUAUGGAAAAAAAAGUGUUCGAUAUCCUUAGCCAUCGGAGAUAACUCGAAUUAAGGCUGCUUGAGAUUCCUUUCCAUCUCGCCCCUGUCAGAAUGGCUGUCACCAGAAAGACAAGGACAAACACUGGUGAUGAAGUGUGGGAGGGGUCCUCCCUCAGGGCCCUCCCUCGGACAUUGCUGGUGGGAUGGUAAAACUAGCCCAACCACUGUAGACUCAAUACGAGGUUCCUCCGAAAAGCUAAAAAUAGAGCGACUAUCUGGUCGAGUUUUGUGAUCCAUGGGCCUCUACCUAAGGAAGUUAAGUCAGCGCACCAGACAGAUGCCUGAGCCUCCAUGAUUACAGCUGCAUCGCUCACAGUAGGUUCCUCAUCUGUGAGAUUGGGAGAAUGAUGGUGCAUACCGAAUAGCAAUGUGACUAAAGAAUUAUUUGGCCUGAAUCAGAGUCAAGGAUGGAAGGAAGAUGGAAGAAGGUUAUGAACAAAGCCAUCUAAGGACUCAUGCUGUACACAAAGACCCUGAGACACCAAAAGGGAAGGAGUAGAACCAAGGAGCUUCUCGCAAAGAGGAGUUACUUUUAUUUACCACAGCAACAGAAGCAAACUGAACUUUUUGCUAAGACACUGGAUAUAAACAUAUGCAUUCAGAAAGCAGCUUGACAAAGUGACAAUUUCAAUAAACAACAGCCUUAUUCUACCAUAAGGCCUGUGAUUUCUCCGGCCAUGGGUUUUUGACCUUGUUUAUAUACCAGACAUUGAUUUCCUUGUGUGGAGCUGGUUUCAAAUACAAAAGUGAUCAUUUCUACAGAAAAGAUAAGAGGUCAAGCUGCUGAAGAAGGAGAUCUCAGGAACACAGGGCCAUUUGCUAUUUUCUUUACAACAUCUGAUCUCUGCAGAUCAGUGAGCCUAUGAGUUUUCUUCAGAGGCAAGCAAGGGACCCCAGAAGAGAAGCGGCUCAACUCUACAAGUUCUGAAGUUUUCUGAAUCUCAUGAUGUCAACAGACUAUUUCAGGAAAAGAAAUUAUCACCCAAUGUCGUGUAAAAACUAUUGCAACCCAUGCAAUGUUGUAUCUUACUUUGUGUCAAGAACUUCUCAGAGUGCAACAGAAAUGCAUCGCAUAUGAGAAAACUUGCUUUAAAGAGAAAGAAGAGCUCUUGAAAGCUGCCCACCUGUGAAAAGCUGGUAAAGUCAGAACCCCCCCCCCCAACCUUUCCCUCUGGUUUUCAGCUUGCUUCAAGACCUUUCUCCUCCUCCUGAUCCUAGAGUCAUUCUGUGGGUGUGAAUAUCUUCCUCCAGUCUCGUAUUCUAUUAAUUAAAUUUAAUAAAUAAUCUAAGAAGGGACAGAGGAGUAAGGACACAAGGAUGUGGC
rnacentral:lncRNA from 1 species